rnacentral:rRNA from 1 species
GGACGAACGCUGGCGGCGUGCUUAACACAUGCAAGUCGAACGGUGAAGGGGUCUGCUUUUGUGGGCCCUGGAUGAGUGGCGAACGGGUGAGUAACACGUGAGUAACCUGCCCCCUUCUUCUGGAUAACCGCAUGAAAGUGUGGCUAAUACGGGAUAUUCUGGGUCUGUCGCAUGAUGGGUCUGGGAAAGAUUGCGCCUUUGGGUGUUUUUGGUGGGGGAUGGGCUCGCGGCCUAUCAGCUUGUUGGUGGGGUGAUGGCCUACCAAGGCGGUGACGGGUAGCCGGCCUGAGAGGGUGGACGGUCACACUGGGACUGAGACACGGCCCAGACUCCUACGGGAGGCAGCAGUGGGGAAUAUUGCACAAUGGGCGCAAGCCUGAUGCAGCGACGCCGCGUGAGGGAUGGAGGCCUUCGGGUUGUAAACCUCUUUCGCCAGUGAAGCAGGCCUGCUCCUUGUGGGUGGGUUGACGGUAGCUGGAUAAGAAGCGCCGGCUAACUACGUG